rnacentral:rRNA from 1 species
GACGAACGCUGGCGGCGUGCUUAACACAUGCAAGUCGAACGGAAAGGCCCUGCUUUUGUGGGUUGCUCGAGUGGCGAACGGGUGAGUAACACUUGAGUAACCUGCCCUUGACUUUGGGAUAACUUCAGGAAACUGGGGCUAAUACCGGAUAGGAGCUCCUGCUGCAUGGUGGGGGUUGGAAAGUUUCGGCGGUUGGGGAUGGACUCGCGGCCUAUCAGCUUGUUGGUGGGGUAGUGGCUUACCAAGGCUUUGACGGGUAGCCGGCCUGAGAGGGUGACCGGCCACAUUGGGACUGAGAUACGGCCCAGACUCCUACGGGAGGCAGCAGUGGGGAAUAUUGCACAAUGGGCGGAAGCCUGAUGCAGCAACGCCGCGUGCGGGAUGACGGCCUUCGGGUUGUAAACCGCCUUCGCCUGUGACGAAGCGUGAGUGACGGUAAUGGGUAAAGAAGCACCGGCUAACUACGUG